GAUGAACGCUGGCGGCGUGCCUAAUACAUGCAAGUCGAGCGAACAGACGAGGAGCUUGCUCCUCUGACGUUAGCGGCGGACGGGUGAGUAACACGUGGAUAACCUACCUAUAAGACUGGGAUAACUUCGGGAAACCGGAGCUAAUACCGGAUAACAUGUUGAACCGCAUGGUUCAACAGUGAAAGACGGUCUUGCUGUCACUUAUAGAUGGAUCCGCGCCGCAUUAGCUAGUUGGUAAGGUAACGGCUUACCAAGGCAACGAUGCGUAGCCGACCUGAGAGGGUGAUCGGCCACACUGGAACUGAGACACGGUCCAGACUCCUACGGGAGGCAGCAGUAGGGAAUCUUCCGCAAUGGGCGAAAGCCUGACGGAGCAACGCCGCGUGAGUGAUGAAGGUCUUCGGAUCGUAAAACUCUGUUAUUAGGGAAGAACAAAUGUGUAAGUAACUAUGCACGUCUUGAUGGUACCUAAUCAGAAAGCCACGGCUAACUACGUG
rnacentral:rRNA from 1 species